rnacentral:rRNA from 1 species
UACGGAGGGUGCAAGCGUUAUCCGGAUUCACUGGGUUUAAAGGGUGUGUAGGCGGAUAUUUAAGUCCGAGGUGAAAUCUCUGAGCUCAACUCAGAAACUGCCUUGGAUACUAUUUAUCUUGAAUAUCGUUGAGGCAGGCGGAAUAUGUCAUGUAGCGGUGAAAUGCUUAGAUAUGACAUAGAACACCGAUUGCGAAGGCAGCUUGCUAAACGAUUAUUGACGCUGAGGCACGAAAGCGUGGGGAUCAAACAGGAUUAGAUACCCUGGUAGUCCACGCCCUAAACGAUGAUUACUCGACAUCAGCGAUACACAGUUGGUGUCUGAGCGAAAGCAUUAAGUAAUCCACCUGGGAAGUACGACCGCAAGGUUGAA